rnacentral:misc_RNA from 1 species
UAUCGCGGUUUAUUAGGUUUUUUUACAUGACAGUCCUCCCGUGACCACGGUUGCUGUAAAGUAUCCGAAACGUCCGGCAUUUAAAAAAAAUACGCUUCAGCCUGUAAUAUCCCACUACUGGGCAUAGGCCUCUUUCCCCAUAUAGGGGAAGGAUCAGAGCUUAAUCCACCACGCUGCUCCAAUGCGGGUUGGCGGAUAUAUU